AUUGAACGCUGGCGGCAGGCCUAACACAUGCAAGUCGAGCGGAUGAAGGGAGCUUGCUCCUGGAUUCAGCGGCGGACGGGUGAGUAAUGCCUAGGAAUCUGCCUGGCAGUGGGGGAUAACGUCCGGAAACGGGCGCUAAUACCGCAUACGUCCUGCGGGAGAAAGAGGGGGAUCUUCGGACCUUACGCUAUCAGAUGAGCCUAGGUCGGAUUAGCUAGUUGGUGGGGUAAAGGCCUACCAAGGCGACUAUCCGUAACUGGUCUGAGAGGAUGAUCAGUCACACUGGAACUGAGACACGGUCCAUACUCCUACGGGAGGCAGCAGUGGGGAAUAUUGGACAAUGGGCGAAAGCCUGAUCCAGCCAUGCCGCGUGUGUGAAGAAGGUCUUCGGAGUGUAAAGCACUUUAAGUUGGGAGGAAGGGCAGUAAGUUAAUACCUUGCUGUUUUGACGUUACCAACAGAAUAAGCACCGGCUAACUUCGUG
rnacentral:rRNA from 1 species